UACGUAGGGGGCUAGCGUUGUCCGGAAUCAUUGGCGUAAAGGGCGCGUAGGCGGCUCGGACACGUCCGUUGUGAAAUCGCCCGGCUCAACUGGCGGGGUCAGCGGAUACGGUCGAGCUUGAGCAAGCUAGGGGGCAAUGGAAUUCCCGGUGUAGUGGUGGAAUGCGUAGAUAUCGGGAGGAACACCAGUGGCGAAGGCGGUUGCCUGGAGCUUUGCUGACGCUGAGGCGCGAAAGCGUGGGGAGCGAGUCCGG
rnacentral:rRNA from 1 species